rnacentral:rRNA from 1 species
ACCACCAAAGCAUUUGCUGUACCGCGUUGACGGAGCGAAGCGACGUCAAACCGAUAAAACAGCAGUGUAAAGUGAGCCGCAGGGCGCUUUGCGCGACAGCGCAAAGGCAGGCGGUUUCGCGUAGCGAAAGCGAAUGCUUUGGGGUGGGGUGACUGCGUACCUUUUGUAUAAUGGGUCAGCGACUUAUAUUCUGUAGCAAGGUUAACCGAAUAGGGGAGCCGGAGGGAAACCGAGUCUUAAUUGGGCGUUAAGUUGCAGGGUAUAGACCCGAAACCCGGUGAUCUAGCCAUGGGCAGGUUGAAGGUUGGGUAACACUAACUGGAGGACCGAACCGACUAAUGUUGAAAAAUUAGCGGAUGACCUGUGGCUGGGGGUGAAAGGCCAAUCAAACCGGGAGAUAGCUGGUUCUCCCCGAAAGCUAUUUAGGUAGCGCCUCGUGAAUUCAUCUCCGGGGGUAGAGCACUGUUUCGGCUAGGGGGCCAUCCCGGCUUACCAACCCGAUGCAAACUGCGAAUACCGGAGAAUGUUAUCACGGGAGACACACGGCGGGUGCUAACGUCCGUCGUGAAGAGGGAAACAACCCAGACCGCCAGCUAAGGUCCCAAAGUCAUGGUUAAGUGGGAAACGAUGUGGGAAGGCCCAGACAGCCAGGAUGUUGGCUUAGAAGCAGCCAUCAUUUAAAGAAAGCGUAAUAGCUCACUGGUCGAGUCGGCCUGCGCGGAAGAUGUAACGGGGCUAAACCAUG